UCUAUUCCUUUGCCGGUGGAUGCUUUUCUCGAAAGAUUGGACGAUCUUUCCAUGGGCUACUGCUCUCACUAUAAUUCGUUAUACAGGUCGUAACGGGAGAAUUUUUUGGAGAGCAUAGAGAAAUAUUUGUAUGUCAGAAAGGGCUUUUGGAGAUCUAUGACCAAGAACCAAGCAGAGCCACGAGCCCUCUAUCUUCACUCUGUUUUGAUGCAUCGUUCAGGUUCUGCUUUAAUGCUUUCGCUCAUACACAGUGAGAUCAUGAAAAUGUUUCAAAUGUGGGGCCUUUUGGAUUUUGAUAUAGAGAUUUCCUUUCCUCGUGAUCAUGAUGGUCUUCCGAGAGCCUAUGAUAAGUAAAAGAGCAAAGAAUCUGAUCAGCCCCACAUAUUGACAGUACAAAUGUUAUCGGAAGAGGUGAUGUUUAUACUCUUGACCCUUUGAUUUCUUACAUUUUUAUACAUUAAAUCUUAUCUAAGUGAAAUUAAAGAAAAACGGACACUUGAUGCUUACAAUAAGUUAUGACCAUUUCUCUGUUUUUCGUUCUUUUUGCUUCUUUUAAUUUACUCUCAUGCUGGGACAAGUGGAACAUGAGUUGAAAACAAGAAACUAAUCACCUAAAAUGAUUGCUAAUUGUUUGAUUAAUUAUAAC